CUGCUAGGCAGGCUGUGCUAUGGUCGUAUCGAAGAAGAACCGUACAUAUCGAGCAUAAUUUUUAUGAAACUUUGUCGAAAUAAAAUAGUUAUGCCAUGCAAAGGGAUAGGUUAGUAUUAAAUUUAGCUAUUUUUUAACGUUUGUGCGCCGUUCUUGUCAAGUUCUAGCCGUGUUUUGAAACAUGUGCUGCAAAUUCAUUGAAUUUUAAUACACUUUGCCACCUAUUCAAGCGCUUCGUUCUCGCUUUAAAAUAGUCGCUUUUUCCAUUCGUAUUUCUCCCAAAUUUUCUUGCAAUAAUGUUCCGAAAUACCCCAGCUUUGAUUGAUAUAACUCAUAUUUGUUUUAUCUGCUGUUUCAGGACAACAAUUGGACAGGAAAGUUAACAAAAUUUACUGAUAUGAAGUCGCCCACCCGAAGCACGUGCACGUGGUAAGCAUCAAUUAUCACUUUUUUUUUUUAAACAAAUUUUAUUUGGAUCGAUAUUCACAAUUUUUAACAAGCAAAAGAAUAUAACAGAACAAAUAUUUAUUAAGUUAGAUUACCUAGAUAUCAAAUGUAGAUCCAAAAAGGGGAAGCUGGUCAACUCGGCCCACUGACCAACUCUCGGCCCAUACCAUCUUGGCCCAAUUGUUAACUACUCUUUGACAUAUUAGGAAAGCUAAUAUUUUACAAAAGAUAGCCCCAAACCAAUACAGCCAUUUGCAGUUGCAUUGGGCGUACAGAUGAGUAAAGUUUGAGAACAUCCAGUUUGAUUUAAUUUAAUUAAAGAAUCUAUCGAAGUUUCAAUUCAAAUUCUCGAUCUGUCCGUUUUGAUAUUAAAUUACCGAUCAUUCAAAUCUCUCUCGAAAUUUGCAAAGAUAGAACGCAGUCAUGGCUCCUAGCUUGCUUAAUGUUAGAUUAGUCAGUUUACAAGCGGGCAGAGUUGGUCUUUGAACGGUGGGUUGAGUUGGUUAUUGGGCCGAGUUGACUGUAAAUCUCAAAUGUAGAUCCAAAAAGGUAAGGGACCGGUCAUAAAGUAAUUACUAGAGGGGGUGGAGGAUGAAUUAAAGGGCCUGACACAAAACCUAUCUAAGCUGUGGGAUUCCCGUCCACCUAGUGGACGGGAAAUCUGAUUGGUUGAUCAGCAUCAUGAAGGAUUUUGAUUGGUUGCGAGUUCACAUAAACAACAGUUUUAAAAAUAGCUCGGUCAAGCUAGGGCUCAAGGUCAAACGCACGUAACAAAUUCCAUUAUGAAUUUCUUCGAAUUUCUUUUUCUUUUAUGCUUUAUGGCAGAAAAUAAAUCAAACAAACAGUAUUUUGAAAGGGCUUCAUCAAAAUCUUUGACAAAUUUUGGACACAUGACGCUGAAAGAACAGCCAAACUAGUCAUGUAUUCGAAAGCUUAUAUGUUGACAGCCGAAAUGUUCUGCCAAUUGGCUUUGCCAGCAAAAGUCUUAUUUUUAAUAUCAGGUCCUACUGGCGUUGUUUUUUGAGCUACAUCGCCUUCUUCGUGGUACGAUUGAGAAUUUCAUUGUUGCUGUUGUUAGCCCGUUAGUCAAUAGAGUAUAUCCGCGUCCAGCAAGUUGAGACCUUGAGAAAGCUUGGCAGUCAAGCCGUGCACAGAACUGACUAGUUAAAUCUUUGUUUGCUGUUCGGUUAAAUAGAGAAACUGACUCUUAAUUAUAUAAAAGUACCUUGAAUUUUUAAGUUUAAUUAAAAAGCAAAAUGCACACUCUGCGGACAUGUUCAUGAAUCAUGAGAAUAUAAUUUUUUUGUGUAACGAAAUCUACAACACUUGUCAAUCAUAUUGCAUGUUGUGUCUAAAAAUAACAUGUGGGCGUCCCACGGUCUAGACAGGUUUUGUGUCAGGCCCUAUUUCAAAUUAGGGCCUGAACUUCAGGUUACCCAAAAACCUAUGGAAAAAUUUUCGUAACCCCCUUCAAUGUAAGUGAAAAUUUUCAAUACCCCCAUUAAUUCUGUUUUAACAUUUGUCUUGCGUUUAUCUAUAUAUUUCGAAACUCUCCAGUUUGUGAUAACUCUCCCACUUCUUGUAGUGGUAACCAUAUCCUCAACAUUUUCCGCAGUCUCAGAUUCGUCACCAGUUUUUUUCUGAUUCUGACAUACUAGCGAUGGGCUGAGGGUAAGAUCAAACAGAAAAAUUUGUUUGGGGUUUAUUUCAAAUAGAAAACAUUUGCUUCCAUUCAAUGUGACACUUCCUCAUCAGGUUCAUCAAGUUCUAAUGCCGGUGUCAAGGCCUAAUUCCACGACUAGCAAAAUGCGAAAACACACUUGUGCGAAAAAAUAACACAAGCAUUUGAUUGGUUUCGCUAUUUCUAUUUUGCAACAGAGUAGAAACCAAUUCAACUACCAGGCGAAGAGAAAUAUUUUGCUGAGAAACAUUCCGAAAUUUUUCGCAUUUCGCUCGUCGUGGAAUUAGGCCCUCAGAGCUUGCUAGCGUUGACAAUUCAGGUGUAUCAGAUUUGUACUCCAAAAGUUAAACGGUUACUGAAUCCUACUUAUCAUCUGACAUAUUUGAGUCAGACUAAAACAUGUACCUUGUGAUGAUUUAAUAAUUAUAGAAAAAAUCUGGGCACAAAUACAUUCAAUAUUCAACAAUAAUAAUUAAAUCUGGGCACAAAUACAUUCAAUAUUCAACAAUAGUUAUAAAAUGUAAUUUUUUUCCGUACCUAUAGUACUAAGAUUUUGGUACCCCCCUAGAGGUUCUGUUGUUUUUUUCGUACCCCCUCAGACGUUCUCUUUUUUUUUCGUACCCCCCCAAAAAUAUCCUCCACACCCCCUAGUAAAUACUUUAUGACCGGUCCCUAAGGUACGAACGGGACUCUUAUAUAAAAGGUCUAUAUAGCCUGGGUGUCAGGCUCUAUGCUUGAAAUAGAGCCUGCUACUGAAUCUGGAUUUAUGCAGGCCUCGAAAUGGAAACUCUUGUAGUUGAAUUUUAUUGGUUCUCUCCUGUCAUGCACAGGAAAUUUUUCAAAAAUUAUAAAAGUGCCCCAAACCACUCCAAACUCUCUGAAAAUUGUCAAAAACCAUUUCUCUCAUCAAAACAGUUAGUUUCGACUGAUGAAAACAUCUUUUAAAAAAUAUUGGUAAAAUUUUGGUACCCUAGGCUUAGCAAAGGAAGGGGGGGGGACCACAGGAGAUAUUUCAAACAUUCAAAAAAAACCCUCAAACUAGUCCAAACUUUCUGAAAAUUGGUAAAAUGCAAAGGGGAACUACAGGCAUAUCCAGGGUGACCAAAGGGGGAAGCACAGGAAAUUUUUCAAAAAUUCAAAAAGUGCCCCAAACCACUCCAAACUUUCUGAAACUCGCUGAAAAUUGUCGAAAACCAUUUCUCUCAUCAAAACAGUUAGUUUUGACUGAUAAAUACAUGUUUUAAAAAAUUUUGGUAAAAUGCUAUUUGCUAAUAUAUUGCUUUAUUUGCAUGCCCUUUAUUUGCAUGACGUCACAAGGCUUGAUGCCCGCGAGGAAUGCUGGUCUUAGUAGUCAUUACCUGGGAAAAUUUUGAUAGUGCAUGGCCAUUUUGAAUUGUUAAAUUUUCCCCGGCAAUGACUACUAAGACCAGCAUUCCUCGCGGGCAUCAAGCCUUGUGACGUCAUUAUGCAUAAGGUCUCUUACAAGGUAUAUUGCUAUUAAGCUUAUUUUACGGAAAUAUUAAACUAACAAUGAAAAAUACAUAACAUAUAAAAAUACUUUACAAAUUUUAAGACACAGUAAUAAAGUUUGUAAAUGCAACAACAUAUAGUAUUAGAACAAUUAUUAUUAUUAUUACAACAUUAGUAUUUCAACUAACGUUCCUAGAGUAAAUACUUUAACUUUUCAAAAUAGCUAUUUUAAUAGAGCUCCUAGAACAUAUAAUUGCUUGCCAUCAUAUACAUCUGUGACGCUGACGUCACAAUUGGCCAAUUCAAAUCAUACUUGUUGAAAUAUUAUCACGAAAUGACUGAACUUAUAUUAAGCAAUUAUUGGAUGAGGCUGAGCAUGAUAUCAAGAAUUAUUCAGACCGAGGUCAAUGUUAUCUGCCGAAGCGAAGCUGAGGCGGAUAACAUAGACCAAGGUCUGAAUAAUUCUUGAUAUCAUGGUAAAGCCGAAUCCAAUAAUUGUUUUAUUAUACAUUUAAAGACAAGAGAAACGUAUAAAACGAUUCCUGUUCAUGAGGUAGGAAAAGUACAAUUUGAAUAUCAAACACCUUGCACAAAGUCAAAGGUCAGCUAAAUAUUCUAUUUACCCCUUUGUGGCUUUUUUCGUGCUUUCACUAUCCUUAUCUGCCAAUAAUUUGGAGAGUUCACUUUCAUUCAGCGAAGCAAAUCUGCUGUAGGCCAUUGUUUGUUUGUUUUUUUCGCGCGCUUAUAGGUUAAAGCUUUUGGCCGCGCAAGGGUUUGGGCACAAGAGAGUCCAAUAAUUUUUUGGGGGAUGCAAGUUUGAUCCAAAAAAAACAAUUAUUGGACGCUGAUGACGUCAUCGGCGGAAAAUACGUAAUAAAUGCCGAAUACUGAAAAUUAGCCGGUGCUUUCUGACCAAUUAGAAAUGAGAAUACAUAUUAAAUGUAUAAUAAAUGACAUUAAUGUACCACAAUUGUUUAAAACUGUCUGUGUUAAAUGUCACUCGUGUUGUCCUUUGUCGAGCCUUGUAGAUAAAAUGUGUUGUAAUUGAAGUAAAUGUUUAGUUUAAGGGACUCUGUGAAUGGGGCAAUAAGCCCUGUAGGGAUCACCAGUCAUUAAUAUGACAAUUAAGCUAGGAAAUAAAUAAAUAAACAUAUAAUUAUUAUCAAAGAUUAUGUUGCUGGAAGUUUACUACUAUAAAUGCAAUCUGGUCUCAAGGCAUUCAUGUCUUUUCUUAAAACAUGUAAAGGGGGACCACAUGCAUCCCUCAAGGGUGACCAAAGGGGGGGCAUGUGUGCACAUGUUUGAGGGUUUUUUCUGGAUACUCUGGUUUCCCUGUCACUUAGAACAAACCUUUUAGUCCUUAAUAGCUGAUGAGCAUGUGUGUCACAAGCAAUUGCUAGAUAGUAUACUUCAAAAUAAGGUUUACAUUUUUAUAUCAAUUUUUAAAAUAAUUAAAAUAAAUUUAGGUAGGGUUAGGUUGGAGUUAGGGUUAGGGUGAGGGUUAGUAUUAGGGUUAGGGUUUAGUUUUGCGUUAGGAUAGUUUUUUCUACGUUAUAAAAACGGAAACCUUAUUUUGAAGUAUACUAUCUAGCGAUCACCGUGUGUCAAGAGCCCAUGACUCGGCUAGAUCGAGAGACCAUCAUUGAUGUGGAAAUAUUUUAUAACUAACAUUACACAAUCCAACUCUUCUUAGAUUGCCAGCUGUCUCAAGACUGAUCAGUUUGAAGGCAAGCAGUAGAGAAAGGACUCGAAGAGCGCCAAGCAGCUGGAAGUAAAAAUGACAAAGGACAAAUGCAGAACAUCAGCAUUAUAUAUAGACCUUAACUCGAUUCCCUUGCUAACCAUCAGAAUUUAUCGCCAGAUUGUGUUUGUGCCAAAUUUGGAAGAAAUUGAUAUUCUCACAAUGGGAUGUCAAGUCACACUAGAAACAAUAAUCAAUGCACAACAGUGACAAAACCACAGUGAUGACUAAUCUGCGUUGUAGACUUUAACUCGUUCAUUUGCAAACUAUGAGCAUUGAUCAACUGAUUCUGUUUGAUCCAAAUUUGGAAGAUUGUUAAGUCACAACAGAUGCAGCACCAGAGACAAUAUUCAAUCCACAUCGCCACAGUCUUGACAGUGUUGGAAACCCCAAAGGAAGAUAACCUAUCAGCAUCAUCGGAAUUUAUUGAAUGUGCCAAGUUGGGAUGCAAGAACCUAUCAAAUCACAUCCAACAGUACUAAGACACUAACCAUGGGAAUGAAGAAUGCUUUCUAGUUUGCAUAAAGUAGUUGCUCAGGAAAACACCAUCAUUACACAAGGUAUAUAUUCUUCUGUGAUUUGUAAUGUGAUUUUGUAUACUGUAAACCUCUUAAUAUAAGCUCCCCUGUGUACUGUAUAAGCCCACCACAACGCUCACCUCAUUCCAAAUAUAAGCAACCCCCCCCCCCCUGAAUAUAAUUAUCACUAUUACCGGCCACUAUUAAUAACUAUUAUUACUAUGCUUAACAAUUGUUUAUCACUAUUACACACACUAACACAAAAGAUCGUCCAUGUAUAAGCCCCCAUAUAUAAGCCCCCCCCUUGUAUAAUCCCAUCAAAAAUCGCUUACAAAAGAAUAUAAACCUGAGGCUUAUAGUCGAAGGUUUACGGUAUGCCUUUGCAGGCUUUGCCCACGUGGCUUAUGUAGUUGUAAAGACUGUUCACAUGGGCAAUAGAAUAAGAAAGUUAGGAAACUUGAUGCAGACAUAAUGGACUUCAUUAUCUACAUGUUUUUGUCUUGGUUUAUGCAAGAAAUGAUCGUUCAUUGUCACAUGUGUAUUUAUUGUAUUUUUGCUAAAGCAACCAAAAGCUACUGCCAUUUGUGUUCAAGGUUGAAGCGUGCAAAAAUUUUCAGGUUUUUUAUGUUUCAAACGUAACGUUUCAAAGGAUAUCACGCCCGUUUGGCCGAUAUAUAAAUAUACAUGCUCACUUGGAUUAUCUAGCAAAACCAAUGUAAUGCCAUAUUGGCUGAUCCGGGAAAGUAUUUCCAAAACCUGAAUUGCUGAAAGAUUCAAUUUUCUUAAUUUUCUUGCAACUAUGCUUGCCGUAUUUACUGCCAAAUACAUGUUAACACAUGCUUCUGGGGGUACUUUGGCCCUUUGACUGAAUCAAGUUGCAUUUCCUAUUCACACGCUACAAAUUGAAAUACCAAAAAAAUAAGAUGAAAAUCUGAAGAAACAAGCUUUACUAACUAAGGUUUUUUCUGACUUAAACUCUAUUCAUUGCCAUAAUCGUGAAUGCGGAGAUCGAGUUAUAAAAAAUGAUAACUCUCUAACAUCUUCGUAACGUUAACGAGAGAGAGUUGCGUCAAACAUAACUCUCAUAUGUUAGUUCAAUGAAACAUCGGGAGAGUUAAAAAAUUGGGUGUGAUUGUUGAGAAAAGUGGGCGUGGUUUGAAUAUAACUCCCCGAAAUCAUAACUCGCCGAAAUCAUAACUCGCCGGUUGGUAACUCUCCCUUAAGUCAUACCCCAAGAAAACAAUAGAGAGUUUAACCUUCUCUUCCGUUCUCAUAAAGCGUUAAGUUAUCACAACUGAUAAAGUAUAGAACACAUUAAUCGUCACCGAAAAUGUGCGACGGCUGAGCUAAAAUUCCGACUAAAACAUGACUCAGACGAUGCCAAUAAACAAAUGGUUUAUGUGUACGUGUUUAUCGUAAAAAUUAUGAAAUAUCCGAUUUAUUUGAGUUUACCUUACAUUAAUUUCCCACGACUUCCAAUACAAGGCCGACUUCGGUAGUGGUGACUUCCAAUACACUUGUCCUUGUGCUUCUUGUGAGCAGAGAGCAUGUGCAUGACAUGUUGGUAUCGGUAUUGGAAUUCGAACUUAAACUCUCUAAUACACAUGUGACGAUGAGGCAACCAUUUUUGCAAAAACCAAGACAAAAACACAGAUCAUGUAUGAGGCCUAUUAUGUCUCUAUCGAAACAUAACCUUGACUAUGAUCACAUGGGGGUCAAUGAUGGUCCUUUCAACCAUUAGGGGCNNNNNNNNNNNNNNNNNNNNAAGUUGUGUAAGGGUGCCCCAAUUGUAAACCUAAAUAUUGAAGAUAUGGGUGCAAAAAAAGGUUUUACGCAUGUAUUAACAAGAAUAUGUGAGGGAAAUUUUUUUUAAUUGAAAAAAUUCGAGCAAGGGAUGAUUUUAAAAAAAUUAUCAACACAAGCAAAAAAUUAUCAACACAAGCAAAAAAUUUUGUACGUAAUUGGAUGACAGUUGAUAUACAUAAGCUACUUCUUAGAAUAUUUAGGGGUGCACGGAACCGAACUCUGUUCCGGCUGGAACCCUGAUUUUUUAGAGUUCCGGUUCCGGCUGGAACUAGUAAAAAAAGCAUGGCCGGAACCCGGAACUCUGUCAUUUCAGAGAGAUAGAAUAUCAAACGUUUUUGCGUCUAACAAAAGGUCACAGUAGGAAGAAAUUUGGACUACGCAAAGGAAAUGUACACUAACACUUCAUUAUGACGUUUAACGCUUGUCAAUAUUUUUAUUCUAAUAUUUGCGAGCUCUCUCCUUUAUGACUUGAAGUGUCUGCAGCGGACAAAGUAACAUAUGACUAUUUAUGGCUUAAUAACUUAGUUCCGGCCGGAACUUUUUUCCAGUUCAGGUUGGAUCCGGUUUCCGGCCGGAACUUAAAAAACUGGUUCUGGUGCACCCCUAAGAAUAUUUAUAUUAAUUUGCAGGCAAAUACAGGACUAUCGGUACUGCAUAUAAUGAAAAUGAGUAUUUUAUCACUGUGAUAAUUCUCGGUUGAAGCCAUGUAAUUAAAUACUUCUUAUUACCUCCAAUUUAGAUUCUUGCUGGUCAUGACAGUUGUAUCCAAAAGUGGGGGCAUGGAUGCUGGUCGAGUUCUAAACCGGGGCCACCAUGGGGAUGCCCAAAUGCACCAAACUAAUUUCAUAUGUGGCAUCUUUAAUAUAAUUUCACUUUAUUUUUGAGAAGAAAUUUCACCAAAAUUUUAACAGUGAAGCUUAGUGGUGGUUGUGGAUACUUUUGGUAUAUUAUGUACUUUAAUGGUUAUAAUAAACAUUUAUGGAUUACUAAGGAUAUUUAUUACCAUGAACAUGUUCAGACAUAUGUACCUCUAUCUCAACGGUUACCCACAGACAUCGAUGUACCUCGAUAAUGGAGCUGCACUAUGGUUAAAGUGAGGUCUAACUUAAGGUACAGAUUUUCAUUGUUAGCCUGCUAUUGGGCAGUAGUUAGCCUGCUAUCAGGCCGUAGUUACCCUGUUAUCAGGUAAUGGUUAUCCUGCUAUCAGGCAGUACCUGUAUUUCAGUAUUGAAUUUGUACCCAUGACUCUGGUUUGCAUGUAAAGUAAGUAAGCUUAUUGCCUUAAAAGUAAGCUUAUUGCCUUAACUUUUCAUCCAUUUUUAGCG
rnacentral:lncRNA from 1 species